AUUGAACGCUGGCGGCAGGCCUAACACAUGCAAGUCGAGCGAGCGGCGGACGGGUGAGUAAUGUAUGGGGACUGCCCGAUAGAGGGGGAUAACUACUGGAAACGGUAGCUAAUACCGCAUACUAUCGGAUAACCCAUAUGGUAUUAGCUAGUAGGUGAGGUAAUGGCUCACCUAGGCGACGAUCCCUAGCUGGUCGGAGAGGAUGAUCAGCACAACUGGGAUGGAGAACCGGCCCAGACGCCUACGGAGGCAGCAGGGGGGAAUAUUGCACAAUGGGCGCAAGCUUGCUGCAGCAAGGCUGGUUGGAUGAAGAAGGCCCCAGGUUUGUAAGGUACGCUCAUCCGGGAGGCGUUACCGAAAUAAGAAGCACCGGCUAACUCCGUGCCAGCAGCCGCGGUAAUAC
rnacentral:rRNA from 1 species